rnacentral:rRNA from 1 species
CCUACGGGCGGCAGCAGUGAGGAAUAUUGGUCAAUGGACGAGAGUCUGAACCAGCCAAGUAGCGUGAAGGAUGACUGCCCUAUGGGUUGUAAACUUCUUUUAUAUGGGAAUAAAAUGUUCCACGUGUGGGAUUUUGUAUGUACCAUAUGAAUAAGGAUCGGCUAACUCCGUGCCAGCAGCCGCGGUAAUACGGAGGAUCCGAGCGUUAUCCGGAUUUAUUGGGUUUAAAGGGAGCGUAGGUGGAUUGUUAAGUCAGUUGUGAAAGUUUGCGGGUCAACCGUAAAAUUGAAGUUGAAACUGGCAGUCUUGAGUACAGUAGAGGUAGGCGGAAUUCGUGGUGUAGCGGUGAAAUGCUUAGAUAUCACGAAGAACUCCGAUUGCGAAGGCAGUUCACUGGACUGCAACUGACACUGAGGCUCGAAAGUGUGGGUAUCAAACAGGAUUAGAUACCCUUGUAGUC